AUCCAUCUGAUGAGUCUCAAAAAGGACGAAAAACGCGAUUCGUGGAU
rnacentral:hammerhead_ribozyme from 1 species